rnacentral:misc_RNA from 1 species
CAACCCUCAAGCUCUGCUUGGAAUUGGGCACCGUCCUCACUGCGGACGCGCCUCAAAGACCUCGGCGGUGGCUGUUCAGCCCUCAAGCGUAGUAGAAUACACCUCGCUUUGGAGUGGUUGGCGUCGCCCGCCGGACGAACCUUCUGAACUUUUCUCAAGG